rnacentral:piRNA from 1 species
UGGAUCAGUCAUUUCAUUAUU